UACGAGGGGGGCAAGCGUUGUUCGGAUUUAUUGGGCGUAAAGGGUGCGUAGGCGGUUUGGCAAGUCUUGUGUGAAAUCUUUGGGCUCAACCCAAAGCCUGCACAAGAAACUGCCGGGCUUGAGUAUGGGAGAGGUGAGUGGAAUUUCCGGUGUAGCGGUGAAAUGCGUAGAUAUCGGAAGGAACACCUGUGGCGAAAGCGGCUCACUGGACCAUUACUGACGCUGAGGCACGAAAGCGUGGGGAGCGAACAGG
rnacentral:rRNA from 1 species